GUUAUACUUACAGCAAAUCUAAGUAAUAAACAUGAUUUACCAACACCACUAUCACCAAUUAAAAGAAUUUUAAAGAAAAAAUCGCUAUAAGUUU